UUCAUCUCUCUCUCUCUCUCUCCCUCUCUCUCUCUGAGUUUCUGCUUCUCCAACGCACCUAGAUCUUGACAUUUCCUUCCACACAGUUUAAUUUCUCCUGAUCCAUCUUCGAUCUUCUUAAUUCCUUCUGGUGCAUGUGCUUUUCCAUUCACCAAGAUGAUGAUGAUCUGUCUCAUUCACCCAUAUCCUUUUCUCGUGGUAUUUCUUUUUAAUGGUGGUUUUUUGGUUCAGGAAAAAUCUGACCCACAAGCUCAAACGCCAAGAAUUUCCCAUAAGGAAAAGUAGUUGGAGAGAGUUUUUUGGUUUUUUGUGGGUAUCUCAGCCAACUAUUCUGCCCGUGCGGAUAAUUAGAUUAAUUAUUUAAUUAACUAAUUAUAAAACUACUUCACAAAAAAAAAAAAAAAAACUUUACCUUCACUUCGUCGCGAGUUUCAUUUCGAUUCAUAUUUUUCUAUUAGGGUUCCAUCUGCUACCUCCGCCUCGUGCUUCCCAUUGGCUACCUCACCUGCCACGUCAACACUAUGUUUUUUGUGGAAACCUAACUUGUAUAUAUUAAACUCUGUGUUUCUCCUGUUUCUUUCAUGUUUUUUCCUUUCACUUCACUUCAGUACCGCUGAUCCUCUCUUUGACUUAGGAUUCCAGGUUUUUCUUUUUCUUUUUUCUUUUUUCUUUUUUCUUUUUUUCUUUUUGGGCUAUUAAUCUUUUUCUCCCCCUAUUUCUUUCUCACCUGUGGCUCGUUUCUGUUAUGCACAGAUUACUUCCAUGUAAUUAAUACAGUCGUUGUUUGCUGGCGCAGCAUCAUUAAGAUUCACAUGCCAAUAUAUGCAAGGUGGUAGCAAUUUCAUGGUUAAUCUUUUUCUGUUUUUUUUUUGCCAAAUUAAUGUUGGAGUUGAGAAUCUUGAUGAUGCUGCAUCGGCGGAUAAAUGGCUACAAACCUGAUAGCAGCUAUAGGAUCUACUAGAUUUUGCAUUAAUUUGAAUAAGGUGAACUCUUUUCAAUUUUUUCAGACUUUUGUAUUAAUUUCUUCUACUUAAUUAAUUUGAUGGUUAUUGAUAUAUAGGACAUUUUUUCUCUCUCCUAUUUAUACGAUUUGAGUAUUUUUUAUUUCACUGUUUAUUUGCAGGAAUCGAAGGAUAUAUAUGAAAUAGAGGUUAUAUAUUGAAGUCAUGCGAAGAAGAAAGCUGAAAGAAGAAUCUUUGAGGCAUGUCAUGUGGGGGCAGUUAUUGACAAAAGCUAGCUGUAAUGUCAUUUUGACAAGAGAAAAAAAAGGGCAAUGAAUCAUUCCUUCUUCCGAAGGUCCACAAGUACGUUUAGCUGAGAAAAAAACAAUAACAACGAGUACAAUAAGAUCAUAGCAAAUCAAUUUUACUUCCAACAUAUUUGUAUGCAUGUGCAGAUUAUUCAUGCUUCUUUGGUCCUUGAUUGAUUUCU